AUUGAACGCUGGCGGCAGGCUUAACACAUGCAAGUCGAGCGAGAAAGGCCUUCGGGCUGAGUAGAGCGGCGGACGGGUGAGUAACGCGUGGGAAUCUACCCAUUAGAGGGGGAUAACUUGGGGAAACUCAAGCUAAUACCGCAUACGCUCUCAUUUGUAUAGGAUGAGAGGAAAGCAGGGGCUCUUCGGACCUUGCGCUAAUGGAUGAGCCCGCGUUGGAUUAGCUAGUUGGUGGGGUAAAGGCCUACCAAGGCGACGAUCCAUAGCUGGUCUGAGAGGAUGAUCAGCCACACUGGGACUGAGACACGGCCCAGACUCCUACGGGAGGCAGCAGUGGGGAAUAUUGGACAAUGGGGGCAACCCUGAUCCAGCCAUGCCGCGUGUGUGAAGAAGGCCUUAGGGUUGUAAAGCACUUUCAGUGGGGAGGAAGGCAGUAAGGUUAAUACCCUUGCUGAUUGACGUUACCUACAGAAGAAGCACCGGCUAACUCCGUGCCAGCCGCCGCCGUAACAC
rnacentral:rRNA from 1 species